UAGAGACGCAGCCGCCAGCGCAGGCGGGAU
rnacentral:sRNA from 1 species